rnacentral:rRNA from 1 species
UACGAAGGGGGCUAGCGUUGCUCGGAAUCACUGGGCGUAAAGGGCGCGUAGGCUGCCAUUCAAGUCGGAGGUGAAAGCCCAGGGCUCAACCCUGGAAUUGCCUUCGAUACUGUUUGGCUGGAGACCGGAAGAGGUAAGUGGAACUGCGAGUGUAGAGGUGAAAUUCGUAGAUAUUCGGAAGAACACCAGUGGCGAAGGCGACUCACUGGCCCGAUACUGACGCUGAGGCGCGAAAGCGUGGGGAGCAAACAGG